GAUUUCCAUCCUUUUGAUUCCGUUAACGAGCAGAGCAUUUAUGUCGGCCUACACUCGCCUCUGUGUGCGUGGAUGGAGGUCUGAGCGAUGUUACUCUUCCAGACAGAGAGAAGAGAAGACCAACUGCUUCAGCCAGAUAACAUCUCUCUCUGAGCACAAAGCGCUGGGGUUAAUUCAAAGAGCUCCUCACUCUUCUCAGGCUCAACUGCUCGUCAGCGUACUGUAGGCCGUUAUUGUGGUCAUGCAGUAACCAAAAAGAGAAAGUGCUCAGUGCACCCUGAAAAAGGAACUGGUAGAAACCUAUCUGCAACAAAUCACAGAUACAACACUGCAGGUAGGACCGGUGUACAAAGGAGCGCAGAGGGAACCUUCUAAUUCUUGCUAGCAAAAGCAAGGAAGUUCAGUUAGGUCAGG
rnacentral:lncRNA from 1 species